rnacentral:rRNA from 1 species
UACGUAUGGUGCAAGCGUUAUCCGGAUUUACUGGGUGUAAAGGGUGCGUAGGUGGUACGGCAAGUCAGAUGUGAAAACUUUGGGCUCAACCCAAAGCCUGCAUUUGAAACUGUCGAACUAGAGUACAGGAGAGGAAAGCGGAAUUCCUGGUGUAGCGGUGAAAUGCGUAGAUAUCAGGAGGAACACCGGUGGCGAAGGCGGCUUUCUGGACUGAAACUGACACUGAGGCACGAAAGCGUGGGGAG